rnacentral:rRNA from 1 species
GAAUUCGCCCUUGGGGAAUUUUCCGCAAUGUGCGAAAGCCUGACGGAGCAAUACCGCGUGAGGGAGGAAGGCUCUUGGGUUGUAAACCUCUUUUCUCAGGGAAGAACAGAAUGACGGUACCUGAGGAAUAAGCAUCGGCUAACUCCGUGCCAGCAGCCGCGGUAAUACGGAGGAUGCAAGCGUUAUCCGGAAUGAUUGGGCGUAAAGGGUCCGCAGGUGGCAUUGUAAGUCUGCUGUUAAAGAGUUUGGCUCAACCAAAUAAGAGCAGUGGAAACUACAAAGCUAGAGUGUGGUCGGGGCAGAGGGAAUUCCUGGUGUAGCGGUGAAAUGCGUAGAUAUCAGGAAGAACACCAGUGGCGAAGGCGCUCUGCUAGGCCGAGACUGACACUGAGGGACGAAAGCUAGGGGAGCGAAUGGGAUUAGAUACCCCAGUAGUCCUAGCCGUAAACGAUGGAUACUAGGCGAAGCUCGUAUCGACCCGAGCUGUGCCGGAGCUAACGCGUUAAGUAUCCCGCCUGGGGAGUACGCAGGCAACUGUGAAACUCAAAGGAAUUGACGGGGGCCCGCACAAGCGGUGGAGUAUGUGGUUUAAUUCGAUGCAACGCGAAGAACCUUACCAAGGCUUGACAUGUCACGAAUCCUAUUGAAAGGUGGGAGUGCCUUCGGGAGCGUGAA